rnacentral:lncRNA from 1 species
AAUAAAAAAGAUGAAAUAAAAAACCAUUCCUUUAACAACAUGAAAUAAAAUUAUGUUUAACAAAAAGAAAAUUCAUAAGAAAUAUAGUGACAAAUAUAUUACAAAUUGGAAAGAAAAGUUUAAGAAAAAUAUAGUGACAAAUGUAUUACAAGGGCUGAGAUCGAUCGGAAAGGGAAGAGGGGGUAGUGUCCGUUCGUUUGGGUCCGAUCUUGUGGCCGAUGGCGGCCUGUGGUGGUGACAGUGGCUGCAAGAAAAAUGAUUGGACGGUGGGCGCGGGCUGCGCUCGCGGGAGAGAGAGAGAGGGAGAGAGAGAAACUGAGGGAGAAGAGAGAGAAGUGAGGUUUUUGUAAAAUCUGAUUUUUCAAAUUACCGUUUUGUCCCUCGGAGUAUUUUAACCGUAUCUCCUUCGUUAAAGCUCCGAUUCGAGCCUACUUCGUGUCUACGAACUCAUUUCGUCGUGCUCUACGCAACGGUGUGUGUAGAAUUGUCAAAUUCCUUCUCGG